rnacentral:rRNA from 1 species
GACGAACGCUGGCGGCGUGCUUAACACAUGCAAGUCGAACGGAAAGGCCCUGCUUUUGUGGGGUGCUCGAGUGGCGAACGGGUGAGUAAACACGUGAGUAACCUGCCCUUGACUUUGGGAUAACUUCAGGAAACUGGGGCUAAUACCGGAUAGGAGCUCCUGCUGCAUGGUGGGGGUUGGAAAGUUUCGGCGGUUGGGGAUGGACUCGCGGCUUAUCAGCUUGUUGGUGGGGUAGUGGCUUACCAAGGCUUUGACGGGUAGCCGGCCUGAGAGGGUGACCGGCCACAUUGGGACUGAGAUACGGCCCAGACUCCUACGGGAGGCAGCAGUGGGGAAUAUUGCACAAUGGGCGGAAGCCUGAUGCAGCAACGCCGCGUGCGGGAUGACGGCCUUCGGGUUGUAAACCGCUUUCGCCUGUGACGAAGCGUGAGUGACGGUAAUGGGUAAAGAAGCACCGGCUAACUACGUG